ensembl:lincRNA Gm2449 predicted gene 2449
CAGCGGAUGUCCCGCCCUACUCUGUGGUUGGGUAGAAGGUGCUGUGAAUCCUGCCAGGGAAAAAGAAGCAUCCGUGAUAAACCAGCCGACCACCUUGCCAGAUGGUACAGCCAUUGCCCCAUGUGCUGCUAUGGUUAUCUGCAGAAGACCUGUAAAUAUUCCAACACGCGGCACUGAAUGAACUCUGGGUUCUUAACACUGAAAAGGAGAGGACAUGAGGGUAAGAUGUGUGGAGGGUUCCUAGAGGAGUUGGGGAAGGACAUAGGGGUUCCUGGAGGGAGUAGGAGGGGUUUCUUGGGGAUAAAAGAAGAGCUGAGUUGGGGGUUGCACAUGGCCAAGGUGUAUUGUUUACACAUAUGAAAUUGCCUAAGGGUAAAUGAAAGACACUGUGUUAAAAUGGUCAUAUAGUGUUUAGCAUGCUUGACGGGUAGUAAGCUCACAAUAAAAAUUACUGCCUCUCAGAAUGAGAUGGGCCGCUGAUGUAGAUCAGUGGUAACUAGUUAGUACACUUCAGGCCCAGGUUCAUAACAAAUAAACACAUAGUAAAAUAAAAGUACAAAACCAGGCAGAGCCUUGGUUUACAGC